GAUAGCUGAGUUGGUUAGAGCAUGGUGUUGAUAAUGCCAAGGAUGCAGGUUUGAUCCCCGUAUGGGACA